UACGGAGGGGGCUAGCGUUGUUCGGAAUUACUGGGCGUAAAGCGCACGUAGGCGGCUUUGUAAGUUAGAGGUGAAAGCCCAGGGCUUAACCCUGGAAUUGCCUUUAAGACUGCAUCGCUGGAAUUGUGGAGAGGUAAGUGGAAUUCCGAGUGUAGAGGUGAAAUUCGUAGAUAUUCGCAAGAACACCAGUGGCGAAGGCGGCUGUCUGGUCCGGUUCUGACGCUGAGGCGCGAAAGCGUGGGGAGCAAACAGG
rnacentral:rRNA from 1 species